AUGAAUGCUGGCGGCGUGCCUAAUACAUGCAAGUCGAACGGGUUUAGACCCGUGGCGAACGGGUGAGGAACGCGUAGGUAGCUGCUCCGAAGUCGGGGAUAACCAGCCGAAAGGUUGGCUAACACUCGAUAGUCCCGCAAGGGUAAAGUUUACGCUUCGGAAGGCGCCUGCGUCCUAUCAGCUUGUUGGUGAGGUAAUGGCUCACCAAGGCGAUGACGGGUAGCUGGUCUGAGAGGAUGAUCAGCCACAGUGGAACUGAGACACGGUCCACACUCCUACGGGAGGCAGCAGUAGGGAAUUGUCGGCAAUGGGCGAAAGCCUGACCGCGCGACGCCGCGUGGAGGAAGAAGGCCUUCGGGUUGUAAACUCCUUUUAUCAGGGACGAUUAUGACGGUACCUGAAGAAUAAGGGCCUGCUAACUACGU
rnacentral:rRNA from 1 species